rnacentral:rRNA from 1 species
UAGGGAAUCUUCGGCAAUGGACGGAAGUCUGACCGAGCAACGCCGCGUGAGUGAAGAAGGUUUUCGGAUCGUAAAGCUCUGUUGUUAGAGAAGAACGUUGGUAGGAGUGGAAAAUCUACCAAGUGACGGUAACUAACCAGAAAGGGACGGCUAACUACGUGCCAGCAGCCGCGGUAAUACGUAGGUCCCGAGCGUUGUCCGGAUUUAUUGGGCGUAAAGCGAGCGCAGGCGGUUCUUUAAGUCUGAAGUUAAAGGCAGUGGCUUAACCAUUGUACGCUUUGGAAACUGGAGGACUUGAGUGCAGAAGGGGGGAGUGGAAUUCCAUGUGUAGCGGUGAAAUGCGUGGAUAUAUGGAGGAACACCGGUGGCGAAAGCGGCUCUCUGGUCUGUACCUGACGCUGAGGCUCGAAAGCGUGGGGAGCAAACAGG